AGUGAACGCUGGCGGCAGGCCUAAUACAUGCAAGUCGAACGGCAGCACAGUGGAGCUUGCUCCAUGGGUGGCGAGUGGCGGACGGGUGAGGAAUACAUGGGAAUCUGCCCAGUCGUGGGGGAUAACGUAGGGAAACUUACGCUAAUACCGCAUGCGCCCUUCGGGGGAAAGCCGGGGACCUUCGGGCCUGGCGCGAUUGGAUGAGCCCAUGUUCGAUUAGCUAGUUGGCGGGGUAAAGGCCCACCAAGGCGACGGUCGAUAGCUGGUCUGAGAGGAUGAUCAGCCACACUGGGACUGAGACACGGCCCAGACUCCUACGGGAGGCAGCAGUAGGGAAUAUUGGACAAUGGGCGCAAGCCUGAUCGAGCCAUGCCGCGUGAGUGAAGAAGGCCCUCGGGUUGUAAAGCUCUUUUGUCCGGGAAGAAAAGCAUCGGGCUAAUACCUCGGUGUUCUGACGGUACCGGAAGAAUAAGCACCGGCUAACUUCG
rnacentral:rRNA from 1 species